AUUGAACGCUGGCGGAAUGCUUUACACAUGCAAGUCGAACGGCAGCACGGGAGCAAUCCUGGUGGCGAGUGGCGAACGGGUGAGUAAUAUAUCGGAACGUGCCCAGUCGUGGGGGAUAACGUAGCGAAAGCUACGCUAAUACCGCAUACGAUCUAUGGAUGAAAGCGGGGGAUCGCAAGACCUCGCGCGAUUGGAGCGGCCGAUAUCAGAUUAGGUAGUUGGUGAGGUAAAGGCUCACCAAGCCGACGAUCUGUAGCUGGUCUGAGAGGACGACCAGCCACACUGGGACUGAGACACGGCCCAGACUCCUACGGGAGGCAGCAGUGGGGAAUUUUGGACAAUGGGCGAAAGCCUGAUCCAGCAAUGCCGCGUGAGUGAAGAAGGCCUUCGGGUUGUAAAGCUCUUUUGUCAGGGAAGAAACGGUGGACUCUAAUACAGAUCACUAAUGACGGUACCUGAAGAAUAAGCACCGGCUAACUACGUG
rnacentral:rRNA from 1 species